rnacentral:rRNA from 1 species
CCCUUGGUGAUCUUGAUGGCAGUAGCAAAUAUUCAGUUGAGGGUUUUGAGGGUCGUGAAGU